rnacentral:rRNA from 1 species
ACGGGGUGCAGCAGGCGCGAAACCUUUACAAUGUGCGAAAGCAUGAUAAGGGAACUCCGAGUGCCAGCAUCUAAUGUUGGCUGUCCUUGUGCCUAAAACGCACAAGAUAGCAAGGGCCGGGUAAGACCGGUGCCAGCCGCCGCGGUAACACCGGCGGCCCGAGUGGUAGCCGCUAUUAUUGGGUCUAAAGGGUCCGUAGCCGGUUCGAUAAGUCCUCUGGGAAAUCUGGUUGCUUAACAAUCAGACUGCCAAGGGAUACUGUCGAACUUGAGACCGGGAGAGGUAAGAGGUACUUCAGGGGUAGGAGUGAAAUCUUGUAAUCCCUGGGGGACCAUCUGUGGCGAAGGCGUCUUACCAGAACGGGUCUGACGGUGAGGGACGAAAGCUGGGGGCGCAAACCGGAUUAGAUACCCGGGUAGUCCCAGCCGUAAACGAUGCUCGCUAUGUGUCAGGUACGGUGUGACCGUAUCUGGUGCCGUAGGGAAGCCGUGAAGCGAGCCACCUGGGAAGUACGGCCGCAAGGCUGAAACUUAAAGGAAUUGGCGGGGGAGCACUACAACGGGUGGAGCCUGCGGUUUAAUUGGAUUCAACGCCGGAAAUCUUACCGGGGGAGACAGCAGCAUGAAGGUCAGGCUGAAGACCUUACCAGAUCCGCUGAGAGGAAGUGCAUGGCCGUCGUCAGUUCGUACUGUGAAGCAUCCUGUUAAGUCAGGCAACGAGCGAGACCCGUGCCCACAGUUGCCAGCAUGCCCUUCGGGGCGAUGGGUACUUUGUGGGGACCGCCGCUGCUAAAGCGGAGGAAGGAGCGGGUUACGGUAGGUCAGUAUGCUCCGAAACUCCCGGGCUACACGCGGGCUACAAUGGUUGGGACAAUGGGAAUCAACACCGAAAGGUGAAGGCAAUCUCCUAAACCCAAUCGAAGUCCGGAUUGAGGGCUGCAACUCGUUCUCAUGAAGCUGGAAUCCGUAGUAAUCGCGUUUCAACACAGCGCGGUGAAUACGUUCCUGCUCCUGCACACCACCGCCGUCAACAUCCUGAGUGAAGUUGGAAUGAAGGGAUCUUUUCCCUUAG